GGGGAAUAUUGGGCAAUGGGGGAAACCCUGACCCAGCAACGCCGCGUGAAGGAAGAAGGUUUUCGGAUCGUAAACUUCUAUCCUUGGUGAAGAUAAUGACGGUAGCCAAGAAGGAAGCCCCGGCUAACUACGUGCCAGCAGCCGCGGUAAUACGUAGGGGGCAAGCGUUGUCCGGAAUGAUUGGGCGUAAAGGGCGCGUAGGCGGCCUGGUAAGUCUGGAGUGAAAGUCCUGCUUUUAAGGUGGGAAUUGCUUUGGAUACUGUCGGGCUUGAGUGCAGGAGAGGUAAGCGGAAUUCCCGGUGUAGCGGUGAAAUGCGUAGAGAUCGGGAGGAACACCAGUGGCGAAGGCGGCUUACUGGACUGUAACUGACGCUGAGGCGCGAAAGUGUGGGGAGCAAACA
rnacentral:rRNA from 1 species